UACGUAGGGUCCGAGCGUUGUCCGGAAUUAUUGGGCGUAAAGGGCUCGUAGGCGGUUUGUCGCGUCGGGAGUGAAAACUCAGGGCUCAACCCUGAGCGUGCUUCCGAUACGGGCAGACUAGAGGUAUGCAGGGGAGAACGGAAUUCCUGGUGUAGCGGUGGAAUGCGCAGAUAUCAGGAGGAACACCCGUGGCUAAGGCGGCUCUCUAGUACGGUACUGACGCUGAGACGCGAAAGCGUGGGGAGCGAACAGG
rnacentral:rRNA from 1 species